rnacentral:rRNA from 1 species
UACGGAGGAUGCGAGCGUUAUCCGGAUUUAUUGGGUUUAAAGGGUGCGUAGGCGGGAUGCCAAGUCAGCGGUAAAAAUGCGGUGCUCAACGCCGUCGAGCCGUUGAAACUGGCGUUCUUGAGUGGGCGAGAAGUAUGCGGAAUGCGUGGUGUAGCGGUGAAAUGCAUAGAUAUCACGCAGAACUCCGAUUGCGAAAGCAGCAUACCGGCGCCCUACUGACGCUGAGGCACGAAAGCGUGGGUAUCGAACAGG